rnacentral:lncRNA from 1 species
UUAUUUCUAAAACAAUGGCGGACGAGAUGGCUACGGUAGCGCAAGAGGAGCCUACAGACCGUACAUGGACAGACGAGGACACGAGGGCCUUAAUCCCGUGGCGGUCGCUGCACAAAUCCCUCUUCACGGGGAAGAGGAACGCCUCCGUGACUGGAUUUGAGGUCUUCAUAAAGGAGAGCGGGCUUGGGAGGUUGGAUCCCAAGCUCGUGAAAAAGAGGUGGGAGAACCUCAUCCACAAAUAUAAGGUCAGAUUAAGCCUAGUCCAAUAAAGUAUCUUUCUUGAUCAUAACUUUGCCCCUGUAGAGUAACACACUUGCACAAUGUAGAGAUGGCAUGGCUAGUGAGUAUUUACAUGCAGUGUACAUGUACAUGGAUGCAAUAUAUUAUGAUUAAGGUGAUUGUUGUUACUCUUGUUCUUAUCUAUGUAUUGUGCUCAAAGUAAUGUAAAGUAAUCGUAUGGUCAGCCUUCAGUUCAAUAACCAAUUACCAGAUCAGUUGAAGGCGCAAUGAUGUGCAACUCCAGUUUGGCUGUCUUUUCAUCCGCAGGAGCUCAAGAAACCCCGGACGGGUGUGAGCACAGAGGGGGGUGGGGUCACUGCUGCUUCUUGGAAGUGGUAUGCACUUAUGGAUGAGGCACUGGGGGCCAGGCCAUCUGUGACCCCUCCAGUCCUCUUUGCCUCAUCCAGCCGGGAAGUGGCAGGGACCCCCCCCCCCCCCCCGCUGUGGUCACACCCCUCCCAAUCAGAAAUUUGAGUGGAGCUUCCUCCACAUUGUCAACCCCAAAAAGGCGGAGGGUAGACAAUGUGGAGGUUGCUAGGGUCAUAGAGGAGAAUGACAGGAGGAUCUCUGAGGCAUGGGCAGAGAUGGAACAGAGGCAGAGGAGAGCAGAGGAGGCCAGGGCGAGCGAGGCAAGCGAGUUUGCAGAGAGAGAGGAGCGGCGACACGGGGAGGCGGUUGCCUUAGAGGAGAGGAGGUUCAACUUUCUUAGAGAGAGUGAGGAGAGGAGGGAAAGAGAGGCAGCCACCAGAGAGAGGGAGACAGCAGCAGAGAGGAGGGAGGGCAGCGAGAGAGGAGCGGCGAGACAGGGAGACAGCCGCCAGAAUGAGUGAGGCAGCUGCCAGAGAGGAGCGCCUCCUCACCCUUUUGGAGAGAAUUUCUGGACAAAAAUAAAUAAUAAAUAAAAAUAAAUAUUUCUGGACA